CUGGAGGUAUCAGAAGUGCGAAUGCUGACAUAAGUAACGAUAAAGCGGGUGAAAAGCCCGCUCGCCGGAAGACCAAGGGUUCCUGUCCAACGUUAAUCGGGGCAGGGUGAGUCGACCCCUAAGGCGAGGCCGAAAGGCGUAGUCGAUGGGAAACAGGUUAAUAUUCCUGUACUUGGUGUUACUGCGAAGGGGGGACGGAGAAGGCUAUGUUGGCCGGGCGACGGUUGUCCCGGUUUAAGCGUGUAGGUGUGUGUUCCAGGUAAAUCCGGUUCACUUUAACACUGAGGCGUGAUGACGAGGCACUACGGUGCUGAAGUAACAAAUGCCCUGCUUCCAGGAAAAGCCUCUAAGCAUCAGGUAACAU
rnacentral:rRNA from 1 species